CAGAACAUAAUUUAAAUAGAGUAGUGGCUUUGGGGGCCACAGGUAAAGGUUAAAGUCCUUUUGUUUUGA
rnacentral:tRNA from 1 species